rnacentral:rRNA from 1 species
AUUGAACGCUGGCGGCAUGCCUUACACAUGCAAGUCGAACGGUAACGGGCCUUCGGGUGCCGACGAGUGGCGAACGGGUGCGUAAUACAUCGGAACGUGCCCGAUCGUGGGGGAUAACGAGGCGAAGGCUUUGCUAAUACCGCAUACGAUCUACGGCUGAAAGCAGGGGACCGCAAGGCCUUGCGCGGACGGAGCGGCCGAUGGCAGAUUAGGUAGUUGGUGGGAUAAAAGCUUACCAAGCCGACGAUCUGUAGCUGGUCUGAGAGGAUGAUCAGCCACACUGGGACUGAGACACGGCCCAGACUCCUACGGGAGGCAGCAGUGGGGAAUUUUGGACAAUGGGCGCAAGCCUGAUCCAGCCAUGCCGCGUGCAGGAUGAAGGCCUUCGGGUUGUAAACUGCUUUUGUACGGAACGAAAAGCCUUCUUUUAAUACAGGAGGGUCAUGACGGUACCGUAAGAAUAAGCACCGGCUAACUACGUG